GUUGCAGAAUCAUAAGUAAAAAUGAAGAUAACCCCAGUGGCGGAGCAUUCUAUACACAAGAUUGAAUCUGGUGUUGGAGUCUUAAGAAAUUACUUGACAAACUCCGACAUCCGUGAGAUGAUGUUUUACUUGAAAAUAAAUUAAAAAAAAAAAAGCAGAAGAGUCGGUGGGAUAAAAUGGACUCAAAAGGAGGAAGAUGACUACUUCUUAUCUUAUGCCAAUUGCUUCUCUUUCCCCUUUAAAGUCAAAGUCAAACACAUCUAAUUUGGAUUGGCCAAAAAUCGCGAGACUCUGAGACUUCAGUGUGUGGCCAGUGUGUCUCUGGACUUACGCUGCUCUGCAGUAGAAACACAGGUCCCAGAUCCCCCUGCAGUCCAGGGGUGACUGUCAUCUUUCCCUCAGCUUCCUGGAUAGACAAUACAAUGCAUAGCUAGCUGUCAUAUACAGGCCUGAAAAAUUGCGCGCAGCGCGUAUAUAAAUCCCAGACCAGGCAUUACACAACCGGAGUUUAAAGUGUCACGUGUAAAUCAUCCCGAGUUAAGCUGCUGAGGAAACACAAACCAUUCUCUAAGGACAUAUGAGACCAGGACUUCAGAAGAUGCUGCCUCACUGUGGGAUGGCAGAAAACAUCGGCUCGCAGACCACCCUGGUGUGCAGUAAUCAACAAUGCAGUGGCCCACUUUAUAAAGGCGUCAGACAGUCUGUAAGCAAAAAGGCAGGGCCUCCAGCUGAGCCGGGCCCUGCUAAUAAGUGGCUUGAAGUAAAAAAAAAGAAGAGAGAGAGGCAGCUUUAAGCAUAUGCAACAGGUCGCAUCACGGUCUUCUUUCCUCCCUUUGCCAGCGACCAUCUUUCAUGGGGAACAACUCCAUCGAGAACCUGUCCCCGCCACCAGGAGACCCCAGUGCACCAGUAUUCUUA